rnacentral:lncRNA from 10 species
UUUUUGCUCUUGUUUUGUCCUAUGGUUUGUAUAAGUUUGUGUUUUUCUGGACUUAGGCAAUGCCUGCUGCUUUGGAAGUAUUCAGAAGUUGCAAUGCUGGGAACCAAGAUGUCAGGUUAUUGAAAGGAGAGGAACUACCAGAUAGAACCUGGCUUUGUAGAGCAAAUAAAAACCAGACCUCAAGUCCAGGUCUUCCUUGUGGACAGGACAGAACCAAGGCCCAGCUCCCUCCUGACCCACAGCCACAGAUGUGAUUCUGGCAGUGAAGUCCCCUUAACCCCAUGUUUUAACCACUGGAG